rnacentral:lncRNA from 1 species
AGAAGAUAGAGUCCAGCAUAUCGUGAUUCAGUGCAACAGAGAGACAAUUACUAAAUCCUCUGCUUUCUGCUGCCUGCAGCAUUUUCAGCGUUUUAUCUACUGGAAAGGAGAGCGGUGGUCUCGAGCACGGUGUCACCACGGCAGUAAGCACAGAGGCACAGCUCACACACCGCCGCCCAUUCACAUUGCACACAACAAACGCUCGUACAACCGCAGCAGCUCGAGAGGUUUACCAACAGCUCUGCCAACAGCUCCUAUUACUGCAUGGUUCUGGGAAUUGAGAAAGAACCAAUUACCAAAAG